rnacentral:lncRNA from 1 species
ACUUUGGGCUAUGCCUGAGUGAGGUGGGCUCAAAGCAACAAGGGAGGACCUGGCUGCCUUUUAACAUCUUCCUGCAGGAUUUGUUGCUUGAAUGCAGCAUCCCUUCAGAGAAAGGAUUCCCUGUCCUUGGAGCUGGGACUGGAGCUCCUGUGACAAAUGCACAUCCUCUGAAACCUGAGCUACAACAAGUUGGCAGAGAUUGAUCCUUCUGUCUUUGCAGAGCUGUCGAACCUGCAGGAAGUGUAAGUAUUCCUUCAAAGGCUUUAAUUGUGUUUUGCCAUGGCUGCUUGUGGGCUGUGAGGAAAUUAUAUCUAGUUUCCUAAGACAGUACCUUCCUUUAGCGAAGUUGAAUGAGCAGGUCUGACUUGGUGUGGAGGUUUUUCUCCCUCUCUAUUGUAUCUGGGCUGCUUUUUUUAAACUAAUCAAUGGGCAGAACACAACAUCCCAAUUAAAACAGCAGAGCUGUUAUUGGAAAUCAUUGGAGUUUGCCUCCCUGGGUGUUGUGCAAUGCUCGGAGGCAGCAGUUGAGCACACCUGAGCACACACAGAGCUCCUUGCUGAAAGCACAACCCUGAAGCAAGGCACAGCAGCCUGGAUUGUGACACCUGAUGCCAACCUAGCCCAAAUCUCCCAGGAAACAAAGGUGUAGUGUAGUGGAUAACAAAGCACUUAACUGUGCCUCCUCCUCUCCCAAACAUUUGUGCUCCUUUUGGAACCAGAACAAGCUCUGCUGGAAGUGUUGCUAGAAGAGGCUAAACCAGCAGAGCUGUCCCCUGGCUUGGUGGGGAACAGAGGAGCUGCUGAAGGUCUGAGUGGCUGUGCCAGCCCCUCCUUGCUGUAAAACAAACCCAUUUCAGGGAAUGCAGGUUUUCCAAGCUCCUGAUCUCUGAGAAUGCUCAGCAGUUUCACUCAGAGAGGGGCUGCACUGUCAGCCCUUCACAGGGGUGCCUGGAGUUCUGAUUUUGGGGUUUAAAAACUAAAAACCAAAAGUGCCUGAGAUGGCAGGUGGUGGGCUGAGGUAAUGAGCUGUGUUUGCCUGGUGAAUCGCUGGCAUACUUGAGGUUUGGGCUCUGUUUGAAGAGCUACUGCUGCCUCAUGGGAAACUGAAAAAACAUUUCCUUUCAGAAACAAUACUGUGCUCUAUCAAGGAUUUGCUCUUGUCCUCCGUCUGUUUUCAUUAAGUGUUGGCUCUUGGACUUGUGG